rnacentral:tRNA from 2 species
GAACCGUUGGACUUCCGGGAGGUCAGCAGGUUUUCGCCCUGCGUAGGCGGGUUCGAUCCCCGUACGGUUCUCCA